rnacentral:sRNA from 1 species
GAACCCCGCGAGCAAGGCCCCGAAGGGAC